AGAGUUUGAUUCUGGCUCAGAACGAACGCUGGCAGCGUGGAUUAGGCAUGCAAGUCGAACGUGAAGCCGUUGAACAAUCUUUCGGGAGAGUGAUUCGGUGGAAAGUGGCGGAAGGGUGAGUAACGCGUGGGUGAGCUGUCUCGAAGUUGGGGACAACCAGAUGAAAAUCAGGCUAAUACCGAAUGUGGUCUUCUGGCGCAUGUCAGGAUGACUAAAGGUGGGGAUUCUUCGGAACCUGCCGCUUUGAGAGGUGCCCGCGUGCCAUCAGCUUGUUGGUAGGGUAAUGGCCUACCAAGGCUUACGGCUAGCCGGCCUGAGAGGGUGAUCGGCCACACUGGGACUGAGACACUGCCCAGACUCCUACGGGAGGCUGCAGUCGAGGAUCAUUCGCAAUGCGCGAAAGCGUGACGAUGCGACGCUGCGUGGGGGAUGAAGGCCUUCGGGUCGUAAACUCCUGUCAUGAGGGAACAGUAUCCCUGUAAUUAAUAGUUGCGGGGCUCGAUGGUACCUCAAGAGGAAGCCACGGCUAACUCUGUGCCAGCAGCCGCGGUAAUACAGAGGUGGCGAGCGUUGUUCGGAUUUACUGGGCGUAAAGGGUGCGUAGGUGGUUUUGUGUGUCGGAUGUGAAAUCCCAUGGCUCAACUGUGGAAUUGCAUUCGAAACUGCGGAACUAGAGUGCAGGAUGGGAGAGCGGAAUUCUUGGUGUAGCGGUGAAAUGCGUUGAUAUCAAGAAGAACACCGGUGGCGAAGGCGGCUCUCUGGAAUGCUACUGACACUGAGGCACGAAAGCUGGGGGAGCGAACAGGAUUAGAUACCCUGGUAGUCCCAGCCGUAAACGGUGCACACUUGGUGUGGGGAGAUUUAACCCUCUCCGUGCCGGAGUUAACGCGUUAAGUGUGCCGCCUGGGGAGUACGGCCGCAAGGCUAAAACUCAAAGAAAUUGACGGGGGCCCGCACAAGCGGAGGAGCAUGUGGCUUAAUUCGAUGCAACGCGAAGAACCUUACCAGGGCUUGACAUGGGGACCCUUCGGGGGUGGUAGCGAAAGUUACCUUUACCAUCACAGGUGCUGCAUGGCUGUCGUCAGUUCGUGCCGUGAGGUGUUGGGUUAAGUCCCGUAACGAACGCACCCUUGUGGCUAGUUGCCACCGGUGGUGAUGAGCCGCCGAGCACUCUAGCCAGACUGCCCGUACAAGCGGGAGGAAGGUGGGGAUGACGUCAAGUCAGUAUGGCCCUUACGUCCUGGGCUGCACACGUGCUACAAUGGUCGGUACAGUGGGAUGCAAUACCGCGAGGUGGAGCAAAUCCCCAAAGCCGCCCUCAGUUCGGAUUGAAGUCUGCAACUCGACUUCAUGAAGUUGGAUUCGCUAUUAACGGCGCAUCAGCUACGGCGCCGUGAAUACGUUCCCGGGCCUUGUACACACCGCCCGUCACAUCAUGAAAGCCGUCUGCACCCGAAGUCGCUGAGCCAACCAUUUAUGGAGGCAGGUGCCGAAGGUGUGGGUGGUGAUUGGGAUGAAGUC
rnacentral:rRNA from 1 species